rnacentral:rRNA from 1 species
AACGAACGCUGGCGGCAGGCUUAACACAUGCAAGUCGAACGGAUGUAGCAAUACAUCAGUGGCAGACGGGUGAGUAACACGUGGGAACCUUCCUCGUUGUACGGAACAACUCAGGGAAACUUGAGCUAAUACCGUAUACGUCCGAGAGGAGAAAGAUUUAUCGCAAUGAGACGGGCCCGCGUCGGAUUAGCUAGUUGGUG